CCUACGGGUGGCUGCAGUGGGGAAUAUUGCACAAUGGGGGAAACCCUGAUGCAGCGACGCCGCGUGAGUGAGGAAGUAUUUCGUUAUGUAAAGCUCUAUCAGCAGGGAAGAAAAUGACGGUACCUGACUAAGAAGCCCCGGCUAACUACGUGCCAGCAGCCGCGGUAAUACGUAGGGGGCAAGCGUUAUCCAGAUUUACUGGGUGUAAAGGGAGAGUAGGCGGUAAAGCAAGUCAGAAGUGAAAACCCAGGGCUCAACCUUGGGAAUGCUUUUGAAACUGAGUAGCUAGAGUGCAGGAGAGGUAAGUGGAAUUCUUAGUGUAGCGAUGAAAUGCGUAGAUAUUAGGAGGAACACCAGUGGCGAAGGCGGCUUACUGGACUGUAACUGACGUUGAGGCUCGAAAGCGUGGGGAGCAAACAGGAUUAGAUACCCCGGUAGUC
rnacentral:rRNA from 1 species